GGCUGGUCCCCGGUAGGUCUCGGUUUAAAAUGGGACAUUGGUGUUUACAACCAGUUGAUCACGAGCAGUUAGAGAUCCCUUUGUUCCUUCUCCACUCCCACUGCUUCACUUGACCAGCCUUUA
rnacentral:Y_RNA from 1 species